GGAAUGCUAUAGGGUCACCCCAUGGACUGUCCCCAACACUUAAUGGAAGGGGACACCUGGAACGUUGUAGGGGCACCCCAACACCCCAAGAACCGUCCCCAUAUCCCCCAACACCUGGUGGAAGGUGACACCUGGAAUGCUAUAGGGUCACCCCAUGGACUGUCCCCAACACUUAAUGGAAGGGGACAACUGGAACGUUGUAGGGGCACCCCAACACCCCAUGGACUGUCCCCAACUCUUCAUGGAAGGGGACACCUGGAAUGCUAUAGGGUCACCCCAUGGACUGUCCCCAACACUUAAUGGAAGGGGACACCUGGAAUGCUAUAGGGUCACCCCAUGGACUGUCCCCAACACCUAAUGGAAGGGGACACCUGGAAUGCUAUAGGGUCACCCCAUGGACUGUCCCCAACACUUAAUGGAAGGGGACAACUGGAACGUUGUAGGGGCACCCCAACACCCCAAGAACCAUCCCCAUAUCCCCCAACACCUAACAGAAGGUGACAACUGGAACCCUGUAGCGUCACCCCAACAACCCCAAGGACUGUCCCCAACUCUUCAUGGAAGGGGACACCUGGAAUGCUAUAGGGUCACCCCAUGGACUGUCCCCAACACUUAAUGGAAGGGGACACCUGGAAUGCUAUAGGGUCACCCCAUGGACUGUCCCCAACACUUAAUGGAAGGGGACAACUGGAACGUUGUAGGGGCACCCCAACACCCCAAGAACCGUCCCCAUAUCCCCCAACACCUAACAGAAGGUGACAACUGGAACGUUGGAGGGUCACCCCAACACCCCAAGGACUGUCCCCCAACACCUAAUGGAAGGGGACACCUGGAAUGCUAUAGGGUCACCCCAUGGACUGUCCCCAACACUUAAUGGAAGGGGACAACUGGAACGUUAUAGGGGCACCCCAACACCCCAAGAACCGUCCCAUAUCCCCCAACACCUAACAGAAGGUGACAACUGGAACGUUGUAGGGGCACCCCAAAAUCUCAAGGACUGUCCCCUAAUGGAAGGGGACACCUGGAAUGCUAUAGGGUCACCCCAUGGACUGUCCCCAACACUUAAUGGAAGGGGACAACUGGAACGUUGUAGUGUCACCCCAACACCCCAAGGACUGUCCCCCAACACCUAAUGGAAGGGGACACCUGGAAUGCUAUAGGGUCACCCCAUGGACUGUCCCCAACACUUAAUGGAAGGGGACAACUGGAACGUUGUAGGGGCACCCCAACACCCCAUGGACUGUCCCCAACACCUAAUGGAAGGGGACACCUGGAAUGCUAUAGGGUCACCCCAUGGACUGUCCCCAACACUUAAUGGAAGGGGACACCUGGAAUGCUAUAGGGUCACCCCAUGGACUGUCCCCAACACCUAAUGGAAGGGGACACCUGGAAUGCUAUAGGGUCACCCCAACACCCCCAAGGACUGUCCCCCAACACCUAAUGGAAGGGGACACCUGGAACGUUGUAGGGGCACCACAACACCCCAAGAACCAUCCCCAUAUCCCCCAACACCUAACAGAAGGUGACAACUGGAACCCUGUAGCGUCACCCCAACAACCCCAAGGACUGUCCCCAACACCUAAUGGAAGGGGACACCUGGAAUGCUAUAGGGUCACCCCAUGGACUGUCCCCAACACUUAAUGGAAGGGGACAACUGGAACGUUGUAGGGGCACCCCAACACCCGUCCCCAUAUCCCCCAACACCUAACAGAAGGUGACAACUGGAACGUUGUAGGGUCACCCCAACACCCCAAGGACUGUCCCCCAACACCUAAUGGAAGGGGACACCUGGAAUGCUAUAGGGUCACCCCAUGGACUGUCCCCAACACUUAAUGGAAGGGGACAACUGGAACGUUGUAGUGUCACCCCAAAACCCCAAGGACUGUCCCCCAACACCUGGUGGAAGGUGACACCUGGAAUGCUAUAGGGUCACCCCAUGGACUGUCCCCAACACUUAAUGGAAGGGGACAACUGGAACGCUGUAGUGUCACCCCAACACCCCCAAGGACUGUCCCCCAACAGCGAAUGGAAGGGGACACCUGGAAUGCUAUAGGGUCACCCCAUGGACUGUCCCCAACACUUAAUGGAAGGGGACACCUGGAAUGCUGUAGUGUCACCCCAACACCCCAAGAACCGUCCCCAUAUCCCCCAACACCUAACAGAAGGUGACAACUGGAAUGCUGUAGUGUCACCCCAACAACCCCAAGGACUGUCCCCAACACCUAAUGGAAGGGGACACCUGGAACCCUGUAGCGUCACCCCAACACUCCCAAGGACUGUCCCCAACACUUAAUGGAAGGGGACACCUGGAAUGCUGUAGUGUCACCCCAAAAUCUCAAGGACAGUCCCCAACACCUAAUGGAAGGGGACACCUGGAAUGCUAUAGGGUCACCCCAUGGACUGUCCCCAACACUUAAUGGAAGGGGACAACUGGAACAUUGUAGGGGCACCCCAACACCCCAUGGACUGUCCCCAACACUUAAUGGAAGGGGACACCUGGAACGUUGUAGGGGCACCCCAACACCCCAAGGACUGUCCCCAACACUUAAUGGAAGGGGACACCUGGAAUGCUAUAGGGUCACCCCAUGGACUGUCCCCAACACUUAAUGGAAGGAGACAACUGGAACGUUGUAGUGUCACCCCAACACCCCAUGGACUGUCCCCAGCACCGAAUGGAAGGGGACACCUGGAAUGCUGUAGGGUCACCCCAAAAUCUCAAGGACUGUCCCCCAACACCUAAUGGAAGGGGACACCUGGAAUGCUAUAGGGUCACCCCAUGGACUGUCCCCAACACUUAAUGGAAGGGGACACCUGAAAUGCUAUAGGGUCACCCCAUGGACUGUCCCCAACACUUAAUGGAAGGGGACACCUGGAAUGCUGUAGUGUCACCCCAAAAUCUCAAGGACUGUCCCCAAUACCUAAUGGAAGGGAACACCAGGAAUGCUAUGGGGUCACCCCAUGGACUGUCCCCAACACUUAAUGGAAGGGGACACCUGGAAUGCUGUAGGGUCACCCCAACAACCCCAAGGACUGUCCCCCAACACCUAAUGGAAGGGUACACCUGGAAUGCUAUAGGGUCACCCCAUGGACUGUCCCCAACUCUUAAUGGAAGGGAACACCUGGAAUGCUGUAGUGUCACCCCAACACCCCCAAGGACUGUCCCCCAACAGCGAAUGGAAGGGGACACCUGGAAUGCUAUAGGGUCACCCCAUGGACUGUCCCCAACACUUAAUGGAAGGGGACACCUGGAAUGCUGUAGUGUCACCCCAAAAUCUCAAGGACUGUCCCCCAACACCUAAUGGAAGGGGACACCUGGAAUGCUAUAGGGUCACCCCAUAGACUGUCCCCAACACUUACUGGAAGGGGACAACUGGAAUGCUGUAGGGUCACCCCAACACCCCCAAAGACCGCCCCAAACACCUAACAGAAGGUGACAACUGGAACCCUGUAGCGUCACCCCAACAACCCCAAGGACUGUCCCCAACUCUUAAUGGAAGGGGACACCUGGAACGUUGUAGGGGCACCCCAACACCCCAUGGACUGUCCCCAACACUUAAUGGAAGGGGACAACUGGAACGUUGUAGGGUCACCCCAACACCCCAAGAACCGUCCCCAUAUCCCCCAACACCUAACAGAAGGUGACAACUGGAACGUUGGAGGGUCACCCCAACACCCCAAGGACUGUCCCCAACACCUAAUGGAAGGGGACACCUGGAAUGCUAUAGGGUCACCCCAAGGACUGUCCCCAACACCUAAUGGAAGGGGACACCUGGAAUGCUAUAGGGUCACCCCAAGGACUGUCCCCAACACUUAAUGGAAGGUGACACCUGGAAUGCUGUAGGGUCACCCCAACACCCCCAAGGACUGUCCACCAACAUCUAAUGGAAGGGGACACCUGGAAUGCUAUAGGGUCACCCCAUGGACUGUCCCCAACACUUAAUGGAAGGGGACACCUGGAAUGCUGUAGGGUCACCCCAACACCCCCAAAGACCGCCCCAAACACCUAACAGAAGGUGACAACUGGAACCCUGUAGCGUCACCCCAACAACUCCAAGGACUGUCCCCAACACUUAAUGGAAGGGGACACCUGGAACGCUGUAGGGGCACCCCAACACCCC
ensembl:lncRNA